rnacentral:lncRNA from 1 species
GGGAAAUGGUGGGGGAGGGGGCAUACAUAGGGAGGUAAGACAAUGGAGGGGAGAUUGGGUGUAGCCACAGUGAAAGUCCAGUUGAUGGGAUUAUAGCCUGAGGAGAACCCCAGAGAUUUGGCCAUCUGGGAAAGACCAGGGCUUUUCCUUUCUGGGUCCCAGAUCCCAAUCCCAUCAAUACUACUCUGUAAAGGCCUGUUUAUGAAAACUGAGAAACUUAUUUCAUUUCAGUGUUCUACUAAUGAUUAAGAAUUCAAAGGAGAAAGAAGAAAAGGGUUAUGAAAUAUAAGACCCAAAUCUGAUGGAUCUGUGUAAGUGAAAAGAAAGGAGGAAGGGAGCAAGCAAGCAAAGAAAAAGGGAAGGAAGGAAGAAUAGGAAGAAGAGGAUCAUGGUUCUUUCAAUCUUCCAGAGUCACUGGAAAUUGUAUUGGCUUUAAGGUUGGCACUCUAUUGCCAGAAGACUGAAUUAUAAUAGCAAUAAGAAAAUUAUCAGAAUUUUGGUAACUUGCACAGAUGGGAGAAGGCAAGGGAGAAUGGAUAAACUAUAUGCACAAUCUCUGAAAGAGAGGAAUAUGACUUUCAGGCUUCAUUUAUUCACACCCUCUAUGGCAUGAUAAAGGGAUAGGGAACCAGCCUCCUACCUAGGAAAACCCACCGAAAGCAGGUUCAAGCCCUACUUCUGACACAAACUGGCUAUUUGACGGUGAGCAAGUUAUGUAACCUUUAUAGGAAUAUGUUUCAGAA